ACGGGAGGCAGCAGUGAGGAAUAUUGGUCAAUGGAGGCAACUCUGAACCAGCCAUCUCGCGUGAAGGAAUACGGCCCUAUGGGUCUUAAACUUCUUUUAUAGGGGGAUAAAGUGAGGCAUGUAUGCCUUUUUGUAGGUACCCUAUGAAUAAGCAUCGGCUAACUCCGUGCCAGCAGCCGCGGUAAUACGGAGGAUGCGAGCGUUAUCCGGAUUUAUUGGGUUUAAAGGGUGCGCAGGCGGCACGUUAAGUCAGCGGUGAAAUGCAGGGGCUCAACCCCGGCACUGCCGUUGAAACUGGCGAGCUCGAGUACGGAUGAAGUCGGCGGAAUGUGAUGUGUAGCGGUGAAAUGCUUAGAUAUGACGAAGAACUCCGAUUGGGAAGCCAGCUUACUGUAGCGCCACUGACGCUGAUGCUCGAAAGCGUGGGUAUCGAACAGGAUUAGAUACCCUGGUA
rnacentral:rRNA from 1 species